rnacentral:tRNA from 1 species
GGGCGAUUAGCUCAGCUGGUCUAGAGCGCCUGCCUUACAAGCAGGAGGUCGAUGGUUCGACUCCAUUAUCGCCCA